rnacentral:rRNA from 1 species
GUUUCCGCCUCCUAGUGACGUAGCAAACGCAUUAAGCACCCCGCCUGAGGAGUACGGCCGCAAGGCUAAAACUUAAAGGAAUUGACGGGGACCCGCACAAGCGGUGGAGCAUGUGGUUUAAUUCGAAGAUACGCGAAAAACCUUACCAGGUCUUGACAUACCAAUGAUCGCUUUUGUAAUGAAAGCUUUUCUUCGGAACAUUGGAUACAGGUGGUGCAUGGUCGUCGUCAGUUCGUGUCGUGAGAUGUUGGGUUAAGUCCCGCAACGAGCGUAACCCUUGUUAUUAGUUGCCAGCAUUUAGUUGGGCACUCUAAUGAGACUGCCGGUGAUAAACCGGAGGAAGGUGGGGACGACGUCAGAUCAUCAUGCCCCUUAUGACCUGGGCAACACACGUGCUACAAUGGGAAGUACAACGAGUCGCAAACCGGCGACGGUAAGCUAAUCUCUUAAAACUUCUCUCAGUUCGGACUGGAGUCUGCAACUCGACUCCACGAAGGCGGAAUCGCUAGUAAUCGCGAA